GGUGGAGCUUGCCCUAGGCCCCGCCCACCGUGGGCGGCAGAGGUGGUUUAGCUCCAGCUAGGAUGCUCCUAAACCUGAAUCCCGGGGGUGGGGCACCAGGACUGCACCCUUCCAUUCUGUUCGCCCACCUCCUGCCCUCAGUCAACAAAUAGAAAAGUGAAGCUGCGUGUGGUAGAGUCAUGGUGAUGGGCUUCAGUACUCAAGUCUGGCUAUUCCAGAAACAUUUCUGGUUGUCUGUGUAAAUGUGUGGAAAGAGGGAACAAACAGAUUUGCGUCAGCCCCUGUCCUGCUGGAUACCAGGCAUGUCCAAACUCCUGAACAGUGAGAUACCAGUCCUGACCUUCCACUAGUGUUUCACAGGGUUCAUUAUGGUGGUGAGGCCAUGGCAGAGAAGCUUACAUCACAGUGCACAGCAGAGUGGAACAGGAAGGGCAAGGCCAAGCCCCAGAACUGGCUGGUCACAGAUGGAAUGAUCCUUGAGCCUGGAUGAGUUCCAGAUGGAAGAGCCACAGCUGAUCUAUCACUAUUAUAUAAGAUGAACAAGAAAGGAAGCUCUGAUGAUCCCACCAUUAAGCUUGCAUUAUGGACUUCUCUGGUAGGAGACCAUAUUGUUUGAAGAGUAUUGGAAAAACAGACCAUCUGAAUUUGUAGUGGAACUCACAGCAAUGAUUGGGCAUAAAAUUCCAAACAGCAUUUUGGCCAAGUGCAGAGAAGUAACUGAGGUGAACUAGCUAGUCUGAUAGACUUGAAACUACACUUAUAUUAAAGGGAAAGACCACUGAAUGCAGUGCACGAGAGUGCUUCAGACCACAAAUCAUCAGGUCUUUGGCUUUGACACCAGUUCCACCACUCAUAAUUUAAACUCUUCAUUUUAAUGUCCACUUUCAUCUCUGAAAAUGAUGUAAUGAAUACAUGUGUCUUUCAGUCAGUCUGAAUUCAAAUUCUGGGUAGCUUAUUAGUUGUUGGUCCAUGGGAAGCUGUUUGUCAUUUCUCAAUGUCAAUGUCUUCUGUCGGAAUAGAGGGGCAGUGAUAGCAUCUGCCUAAUGUGGUCAUUGCAAAAAUAAAAUGAAUUAAUGGCUC